rnacentral:rRNA from 1 species
GGGCCCGCACAAGCGGUGGAGCAUGUGGUUUAAUUCGAUGAUACGCGAGGAACCUUACCAGGGUUUAAAUGCAGAACGACAGGGGUGGAAACACCCCCUUCUUCGGACGGACUGCAAGGUGCUGCAUGGUUGUCGUCAGCUCGUGCUGUGAAGUGUCGGGUUAAGUCCCAUAACGAGCGCAACCCCCAUUUCUAGUUGCCAGCGGUUCGGCCGGGGACUCUAGAGAAACUGCCAGCGUAAGCUGUGAGGAAGGUGGGGAUGACGUCAAAUCAUCACGGCCCUUACAUCCUGGGCCACACACGUGCUACAAUGGUAGGGACAACAGGUUUGCCCAACCCCGCGAGGGUGAGCC